ACAACUACUGCCGCCGCCUCCUCCUCUUUCUCCAUCCUUCUCUAUCACUUGCUCGCCGCUACUUCUUUUGUCUGAAGGUGUCACCACCGCCUCAUUUUCAAACAGGCAUCCAAUCUGGUCUAAGACGAGGAAGGGCUCACGAAAUCACAUACGGAUGGAUGGUGUUCUGUACAAUCAUUCCAGAGAUUGAGCACUCUACAAGCUGAGCUAGGAUUGAUGUUAAGAAUAAGCCACAAGUGUGGAAAAGUUGGUGCUCAGGUCCUUCUAUCUAUGGUUGUAUUAGAAUGUUCUGGCAUCAUCCAGGGCUGUUGACAUGCAAAUAAAAGGUUUUAUAGAGGCCCGGGAACGCUGCGCGAUCGGGAGAUGUGCAAUGCCAAGGUUCCCAUUUCCAUCAUCGUCAUUGAGUCGGACAAGGUUCCUUAACCCUUUAUCGGCUUACUCUCCGGUGCUAUAACAUCAUGUGUAAAAAGAAAGAUCCCGAUGUUCCCCAACGGAUUGGAAGUGCCCUAAAGAAGAAGUGAAUUGGGAUGCCAUUGUUCCAACCUUAACAGAUGUAAAAGAAUGCAUGGUAAAGAUCCACCGUCUAUGGUACAGUGAAGAAGCUUGUUACAAUAGCACCUGAAUCCUGAAACCAUUCGGUUCUGGGUUCAUAAAUUGGUAGUUCUCUUUUCGGAUGAUAAAUGGUUCAAUAAGAAAUUUUACUUAAGGUAAAACCUAUGCCAUCCAAUAUUUUAUGCUUUUAAAAACUGUAGGUUUUGUUUGCAUCCUUCAUUUGUUUGAGUUCAUUGUAUGCAUCUAUAAUGCAAUUAACCAAGUUAAUUAAUUUCCUCUCUGCUUUUGCAUGGGAUGUAAUGCUCCUAGUCAAGUGACUCACAACCAUUUUAUCAAUUCCAUUAUUCACCACUCUAUCUUGUACAAGUCAUUUCUUCAUUUGUAAGUGAUCUUUAAUUGUU